GGUGUAGACAACAGGAAGGGUUUCAAAGUAUAUUUGUUUUAAAGUUGAUGUUCACUGCUUUGGAAAAGCCAAAAUAUUAGCAGUUAAAUUUUAUCAAGAAAUGCUUCUAUCUCUCCUCUGAUUUUGUAGACCAUUGUACAUGGAACUUCCCUACUCAACCAUAGGUCAGCUAAAAACAGAAAUUGAAACAUACAGCUGGACAAGAUGACAUAACUGAUUCAAAAACUACAAGAUAUGUAAGAAGUGACUCCUGCAUCAAAUCUAUAACAUCUCUGUGAGCUACAUCUUAUCCCUGAGAAAAACAACCACUAUUGAUUUGAAGAGAUCGGGUAAUUGAAGAGCUAUCAUAUUCCAAGUUUUUCCACUACAUGAAAGACCUGUCUCUACAGAUAUCUUCCUUAGCAGGACCAGUUCUAUCCUCCAGCCUAGAAGCCAUGAAAGGAGGUUGUGAACCUCAGAAAACAAGACCUCCUGGACUGCUUAUGGACUUGUGGCACCCCCUGCCUUGAUAGAGGAUUAUGUCAAGACAUAUGGGUACACACCCUUAAUUCAUGGCUUCCUUGGGGUCUCUACCACUUGUCUGAAGCAUGUUGUAGUCCCUUGACGGUCAUGAAGCACAAGAAUCUGGAGCAAGACACUGUUUGGAAGAACAAUCUGAAAGGUAAUAGCCAUAUUCAGCUCACAGAUGUUUUGCUUCCAUUCAGGAGUACACAGAAACUGUAUAGAAAACUAACUGUCUUUUAAACUCUUCUCCUGGUAAAGCACAGUCCAACGCCAAACCCAGGCAAUCUCUGAGUACUUCGUGUCCUGGGCCUUGGCCUUGGCCAAUGGCCACGCUGGGCAUUUAAUAGUAUGCACAUCCCCACACUAGUGCUCAGGCAUCUACCCUAGCCUUAUAUAAUUUUCUAAUAUAAACUAUAAACUACAGUAGUAUACCUGUAUGGAUACAACCACUGAAAUCAUGCAACUUCUCAAAUGUGAUGGUGGGUACACAAAUGUUUGUGACAGAAAUUACAGAAAUUACAGGCUACACAAGCAGCUGGAAGAACUCCACAUACUGCUGGAGAGUUGAAUCUAAGCAAUUAAUUAUGUUUCAUUUCUAUGUUUGAUAGUGGUGAGGUCUGUUUCCAGGGAAAAAGAAAGUAUUUUUCUGAAUAUUUAAUGUUUUUAAUGCAUUCUUUCAGUUCUGUAAUUAAUUGUAUGUCCCUGUUUUUACUUAUGUGUAACUAAAAAAAAAUUAAAAAGAUGAAUUUCUGAAUAACCAUGCAGAAGCUGCUGGUUUGCUUUGAAAAAUAAAGGAGACUGAAAUAGCUUGAUUAGAUUUUAAAAAAUAAAUAAAUAAAUUAGCAGUGAAAAAAUCCAAACAGCAAAAAAUGGAGCUUUUCUGGCAACCUGAAUUUGCAAGAAAUUCUGAUUCUAAUGAGACAGAAAAGUUAGGAGAAGAAAGCACACCAAAAGAAAAAAAAAGACAGAGAGAGAGAGAGAGAGAGAGCCUUAAGAGCAUUCCACUAAGAAAUUUGAUUGUAACACCAGAACUGUCUCCUUCACAGACAAAAAUCUGUCUUCAAAACAUUUGCAGAAGUGUUGCAGAAAUAAAUCAGUUCUCACCGAAACAAGACUUCUGUAGUCAGUACCACAGUACCACCUUGUGGAGAAAUAUAAACAGCCUCGGUAUUGAUUUCUUCCACCAAGCAGUUAGUUUCAGGAAAUAACUAUAAUAUAAGCAUAAAAUUCUAACUAUGAUGAAUGAAACAGACCCAGGCACCAGCAACAUAUGUGAUGCAUGACUUCUCCCAGAGUUAAAUUACUUGUUUUGAAGAAGCCAUGUUCCAGUCAAAAUCUUUCAGAAGUCUAAUGUGAAAACUUCCUGGAAGAAAAAUGACUCCUUUUAUAUUUGCCUGGAUUCCUUUCUUGACUUCCAUGUGCUGCAAAUUUAUUUCUCCAGUUACACUGAAUCAAGAGAACAAUUGUCUCAGGCAUGUCAAAUUCUGCCCCCACAAAACGUUUCAUAAACGUAAAGGCUAUGACAUAAACAAACUAACACCAGACUCCUUGAGAUGACUUCUCUUAUUGCUUUUCUGUAACUGAUGAAGCGAUUAGGGACAGUAAUAUUCCAGAACACAUUUGAAGAAAUAAGGUUAUCAAAUUCUCUUGCCCAAAGGGAACUAUCACCUGCUUUUCUCCAUUUCUUUUACACUGUGAAAGAAAUUUGUAUGAUUAAGUAAUUGCUGGCAGUCAGGAGAAACAGUCACACAGUUGUCAUAUUUUAAGAGCUCUGUUAAAUGAAACUUUCACACUUUUAAAAAUAACUUUUUACACACAUCUCUGCAGCACUCUUUAACUCUUGCUCCUAAUGACAUUUUGGGAUAUUCUGUUUUGUGUACUGCCUGUCAGGCUAAAUUGGAACAAACAGUGCCAAAGUGUGUAUAGUAACCUUCAAUUUUAUGUUGUCCUGAGAAUGAGGGGAAUAUUUGUUUUUAUUUUUGCUGUCAAUAAACAAAAUUUCAACCUUGUUGCA
ensembl:lncRNA